CUACGUGCCAGCAGCCGCGGUAAUACGUAUGUCGCGAGCGUUAUCCGGAAUUAUUGGGCAUAAAGGGCAUCUAGGCGGCCGGGUAAGUCCGGGGUGAAAACUGCUGGCUCAACCAGCAGCCUGCCUUGGAAACUACCCGGCUUGAGUGCUGGAGAGGUGGACGGAACUGCACGAGUAGAGGUGAAAUUCGUAGAUAUGUGCAGGAAUGCCGAUGAUGAAGAUAGUUCACUGGACGGCAACUGACGCUGAAGUGCGAAAGCUAGGGGAGCGAACAGGAUUAGAUACCCUGGUAGUCCUAGCUGUAAACGAUGAUUACUGGGUGUGGGCAUGAAGAGUGUCCGUGCCGAAGCUAAUGCGAUAAGUAAUCCGCCUGGGGAGUACGGCCGCAAGGCUGAAACUCAAAGGAAUUGACGGGGACCCGCACAAGCGGUGGAGCAUGUGGUUUAAUUCGACGCAACGCGAGGAACCUUACCAGAUCUUGACAUCC
rnacentral:rRNA from 1 species